GGGAGAGAAUCCUAAGGCCGGCGGAAGAAGUAUUGUUAAGGAACUCGGCAAAAUGACCCCGUAACUUCGGGAGAAGGGGUGCCUGCGAGAGCAGGCCGCAGAGAAGAGGCCCAAGCAACUGUUUAGCAAAAACACAGGUCUAUGCAAAACCGAAAGGUGAGGUAUAUGGGCUGACGCCUGCCCGGUGCUGGAAGGUUAAGGGGAGUGGUCAGGAAACGAAGCCACGAACUUAAGCCCCAGUAAACGGCGGCCGUAACAAUAACGGUCCUAAGGUAGCGAAAUUCCUUGUCGGGUAAGUUCCGACCCGCACGAAAGGCGUAAUGAUUUGGGCGCUGUCUCGACAAUACAUCCGGUGAAAUUGAAGUGCCAGUGAAGAUGCUGGCUACCUGCGCCAGGACGGAAAGACCCCAUGGAGCUUUACUCCAGCUUGAUACUGGGACCCGGUAUUGCAUGUACAGGAUAGGUGGGAGGCUUGGAAAUGUGGACGCCAGUCUGCAUGGAGCCGCUGUUGGGAUACCACCCUUGUGGUGCUGGGUUUCUAACCAGAGGCCGUGAACCGGUCUGGGGACAAUGUCAGGUGGGGAGUUUGACUGGGGCGGUCGCCUCCGAAAGGGUAUCGGAGGCGCCCAAAGGUUCCCUCAGAAUGGUUGGAAACCAUUCGAAGAGUGCAAAGGCAGAAGGGAGCUUGACUGCGACACCGACGGGUGGAGCAGGUACGAAAGUAGGGCUUAGUGAUCCGGUGGAAUUUAAGUGGGAAUGCCAUCGCUCAACGGAUAAAAGCUACCCUGGGAUAACAGGCUGAUCACUCCCAAGAGUUCACAUCGACGGAGUGGUUUGGCACCUCGAUGUCGGCUCAUCGCAUCCUGGGGCUGAAGUCGGUCCCAAGGGUUGGGCUGUUCGCCCAUUAAAGCGGUACGCGAGCUGGGUUCAGAACGUCGUGAGACAGUUCGGUCCCUAUCCGGCGUGGGCGUAGGAUAUCUGAGAGGAGCUGUCCUUAGUACGAGAGGACCGGGAUGGACUGACCUCUGGUGUACCGGUUGGCGAUCAACGCCACGGCCGGGUAGCCAUGUCGGGACGGGAUAAACGCUGAAGGCAUCUAAGCGUGAAGCCCCCCCUCAAGAUGAGAUAUCCCAUCGUAAGAGUAAGACCCCUUGAAGACGACGAGGUUGAUAGGGCAGGGGUGGAAGUGCUGUAAGGCAUGGAGCUGACUGCUACUAAUCGGUCGAGGGCUUGACU
rnacentral:rRNA from 1 species